rnacentral:rRNA from 1 species
GCAGUCUGCAACUCGACUGUACGAAGCUGGAAUCGCUAGUAAUCGCGGAUCAGCACGCCGCGGUGAAUACGUUCCCGGGCCUUGUACACACCGCCCGUCACACCAUGGGAGUCAGCAACGCCCGAAGCCGGUGACCCAACCGAAAGGAGGGAGCCGUCGAAGGUGGGGCCGAUAACUGGGGUGAAGUCGUAACAAGGUACC